CCUACGGGGGGCAGCAGUGAGGAAUAUUGGUCAAUGGACGCAAGUCUGAACCAGCCAUGCCGCGUGCAGGAAGACGGCUCUAUGAGUUGUAAACUGCUUUUGUACGAGGGUAAACGCAGAUACGCGUACCUGUCUGAAAGUAUCGUACGAAUAAGGAUCGGCUAACUCCGUGCCAGCAGCCGCGGUAAUACGGAGGAUUCAAGCGUUAUCCGGAUUUAUUGGGUUUAAAGGGUGCGUAGGCGGGCGGAUAAGUUAGAGGUGAAAUCCCGAGGCUCAACUUCGGAAUUGCAUCUGAUACUGGCAGGCUAGAGAGUAGUAGCGGUAGGCGGAAUGUAUGGUGUAGCGGUGAAAUGCUUAGAGAUCAUACAGAACACCGAUUGCGAAGGCAGCUUACCAAGCUACUUCUGACGUUGAGGCACGAAAGCGUGGGGAGCAAACAGGAUUAGAUACCCGUGUAGUC
rnacentral:rRNA from 1 species